AUUGAACGCUGGCGGUAGGCCUAACACAUGCAAGUCGAACGGCAGCACAGUAAGAGCUUGCUCUUACGGGUGGCGAGUGGCGGACGAGUGCGGAAUACAUCGGAAUCUACUUUUUCGUAGGGGAUAACGUAGGGAAACUUACGCUAAUACCGCAUACGACCUACGUGUGAAAGCAGGGGAUCUUCGGACCUUGCGCGAUUGAAUGAGCCGAUGUCGGAUUAGCUAGUUGGCGGGGUAAAGGCCCACCAAGGCGACGAUCCGUAGCUGGUCUGAGAGGAUGAUCAGUCACACUGGAACUGAGACACGGUCCAGACUCCUACGGGAGGCAGCAGUGGGGAAUAUUGGACAAUGGGCGAAAGCCUGAUCCAGCCAUGCCGCGUGGGUGAAGAAGGCCUUCGGGUUGUAAAGCCCUUUAGUUUGGAAAGAAAAGCAGUAGGUUAAUACCUCGCUGUUCUGACGUUACCAAAAGAAUAAGCACCGGCUAACUUCGUG
rnacentral:rRNA from 1 species